rnacentral:rRNA from 1 species
CCAGACUCCUACGGGAGGCAGCAGUGAGGAAUAUUGGUCAAUGGUCGGAAGACUGAACCAGCCAUGCCGCGUGCAGGAAGGCGGCCUUAUGGGUUGUAAACUGCUUUUAUAUGGGAAGAAUAAGGGGUACGUGUACUUUGAUGACGGUACCAUAUGAAUAAGCAUCGGCUAACUCCGUGCCAGCAGCCGCGGUAAUACGGAGGAUGCGAGCGUUAUUCGGAAUCAUUGGGUUUAAAGGGUCUGUAGGCGGGCUAUUAAGUCAGGGGUGAAAUAUUUCAGCUUAACUGGGAAAUUGCCUUUGAUACUGGUAGUCUUGAAUAUUUGUGAAGUUUUUGGAAUGUGUAGUGUAGCGGUGAAAUGCAUAGAUAUUACACAGAACACCGAUUGCGGAGGCAGGGGACUAACAAAUAAUUGACGCUGAGAGACGAGAGCGUGGGGAGCGAACAGGAUUAGAUACCCUGGUAGUCCACGCUGUAAACGAUGGAUACUAGCUGUUUGGUAGGAAUAUUGAGUGGCUAAGCGAAAGUGAUAAGUAUCCCACCUGGGGAGUACGCACGCAAGUGUGAAACUCAAAGGAAUUGACGGGGGCCCGCACAAG